GACACGACGUGCGAACGUUGUUCGGAAUCACUGGGCUUAAAGGGCGCGUAGGCGGCUUGGCAAGUCCGGGGUGAAAGCCCCCAGCUCAACUGGGGAAGUGCCUUGGAUACUGCCAAGCUCGAGCGAGAUAGGGGUCGUGGGAACUUCCGGGUGGAGCGGUGAAAUGCGUUGAUAUCGGAAGGAACGCCGGUGGCGAAAGCGCACGACUGGAUCUCUUCUGACGCUGAGGCGCGAAAGCCAGGGGAGCAAAACGGGG
rnacentral:rRNA from 1 species